rnacentral:rRNA from 1 species
CACGAACGCUGGCGGCAUGCCUAACACAUGCAAGUCGAACGAGACCUUCGGGUCUGGUGGCGCACGGGUGCGUCACGCGUGGGAACCUGCCCUUAGGUUCGGAAUAACUCCCCGAAAGGGGUGCUAAUACCGGAUAAUGUCUUCGGGCCAAAGAUUUAUCGCCUUUGGAUGGGCCCGCGUUGGAUUAGCUAGUUGGUAGGGUAAAAGCCUACCAAGGCGACGAUCCAUAGCUGGUCUGAGAGGAUGAUCAGCCACACUGGGACUGAGACACGGCCCAGACUCCUACGGGAGGCAGCAGUGGGGAAUAUUGGACGAUGGGCGAAAGCCUGAUCCAGCAAUGCCGCGUGAGUGAUGAAGGCCUUAGGGUUGUAAAGCUCUUUUACCCGGGAUGAUAAUGACAGUACCGGGAGAAUAAGCGCCGGCUAACUCCGUG